UUUCAUUCAGGGAAGGAGAAGCGAAAAAGCCUUCAAGCAGAGCCCACUCCGGCUCAGCCAUUCUCCCUGUGUGCCUGUCCCCUUGUCUCUGCUGCCGGGGCUGAUUGACCAGCCCUUCCGACAGCCCGGCUGCCAGCCCGCCUGGACGCCUCCAUAGCACCCAUGCUUGUUACUGUGAGCACCGCUAGCUGCCUCGUGGCCUCUGACGUUUGUGUGGAAAGGAGAGGAUGUGCGCAACCUUCCUGUUCUACACCAGCUCUGGGGUCUUGACCCUCCUAAAACUACUCGAGAAAAGAAAUCUUUGGGAUCUGUCACAACCAUCCACCUCCUGUUGUAUGCAGGGAACACAGCAACCUCUUCUGGACAAAUGUGAAAGUGGCAGAGGGUGAUGAAGCCAACCUAACAGAAACUGGAAAAGUCCUGGACCCCCAAGAAUGGACAAAGACACAAAACAGAGAAAAAGGACACAAAACAUUGGCUUGAGAUGAGACCGCACUCUCCCAGCCUCAGCCACCGCUAUCCCUGCCGAGAAAUGGUAACUCAUGCACACACUUCUAUGUGAUUUUGAUUUUAACCACAAAAUGGAAGCAUUUAUUAAAACAAGCAUUGAUUCUUUAGGCAAUGUGAGUAAAGAUGUUCAGACAGGUACAACUAUCAAAAACUGAUAUCAACAUCAGACAAUGAUAACAAUUUUAGUGCAUCAUGAAAUAAUAGCAAUAUUACAAAGGAAUACAAACCAACCAAACAACUUAAGGUUGGAUAAAUUACACACUUAUAUGAACACUCUG